AAAUUGAAGAGUUUGAUCAUGGCUCAGAUUGAACGCUGGCGGCAGGCCUAACACAUGCAAGUCGAGCGGUAGCACAGAGAGCUUGCUCUCGGGUGACGAGCGGCGGACGGGUGAGUAAUGUCUGGGAAACUGCCUGAUGGAGGGGGAUAACUACUGGAAACGGUAGCUAAUACCGCAUAACGUCGCAAGACCAAAGUGGGGGACCUUCGGGCCUCAUGCCAUCAGAUGUGCCCAGAUGGGAUUAGCUAGUAGGUGGGGUAACGGCUCACCUAGGCGACGAUCCCUAGCUGGUCUGAGAGGAUGACCAGCCACACUGGAACUGAGACACGGUCCAGACUCCUACGGGAGGCAGCAGUGGGGAAUAUUGCACAAUGGGCGCAAGCCUGAUGCAGCCAUGCCGCGUGUGUGAAGAAGGCCUUCGGGUUGUAAAGCACUUUCAGCGGGGAGGAAGGCGGUGAGGUUAAUAACCUCAUCGAUUGACGUUACCCGCAGAAGAAGCACCGGCUAACUCCGUGCCAGCAGCCGCGGUAAUACGGAGGGUGCAAGCGUUAAUCGGAAUUACUGGGCGUAAAGCGCACGCAGGCGGUCUGUCAAGUCGGAUGUGAAAUCCCCGGGCUCAACCUGGGAACUGCAUUCGAAACUGGCAGGCUAGAGUCUUGUAGAGGGGGGUAGAAUUCCAGGUGUAGCGGUGAAAUGCGUAGAGAUCUGGAGGAAUACCGGUGGCGAAGGCGGCCCCCUGGACAAAGACUGACGCUCAGGUGCGAAAGCGUGGGGAGCAAACAGGAUUAGAUACCCUGGUAGUCCACGCCGUAAACGAUGUCGAUUUGGAGGUUGUGCCCUUGAGGCGUGGCUUCCGGAGCUAACGCGUUAAAUCGACCGCCUGGGGAGUACGGCCGCAAGGUUAAAACUCAAAUGAAUUGACGAGGGCCCGCACAAGCGGUGGAGCAUGUGGUUUAAUUCGAUGCAACGCGAAGAACCUUACCUGGUCUUGACAUCCACAGAACUUAGCAGAGAUGCUUUGGUGCCUUCGGGAACUGUGAGACAGGUGCUGCAUGGCUGUCGUCAGCUCGUGUUGUGAAAUGUUGGGUUAAGUCCCGCAACGAGCGCAACCCUUAUCCUUUGUUGCCAGCGGUUCGGCCGGGAACUCAAAGGAGACUGCCAGUGAUAAACUGGAGGAAGGUGGGGAUGACGUCAAGUCAUCAUGGCCCUUACGACCAGGGCUACACACGUGCUACAAUGGCAUAUACAAAGAGAAGCGACCUCGCGAGAGCAAGCGGACCUCAUAAAGUAUGUCGUAGUCCGGAUUGAGUCUGCAACUCGACUCCAUGAAGUCGGAAUCGCUAGUAAUCGUAGAUCAGAAUGCUACGGUGAAUACGUUCCCGGGCCUUGUACACACCGCCCGUCACACCAUGGGAGUGGGUUGCAAAAGAAGUAGGUAGCUUAACCUUCGGGAGGGCGCUUACCACUUUGUGAUUCAUGACUGGGGUGAAGUCGUAACAAGGUAACCGUAGGGGAACCUGCGGUUGGAUCACCUCCUUACCUUAAAGAA
rnacentral:rRNA from 1 species